rnacentral:misc_RNA from 1 species
UCUCCGUUGGUGAACCUGCGGAGGGAUCAUUAUCGAGUUUUUCUCCUCCCAAACCCCUGUGAACUUAUACCUUUUCUGUUGCUUCGGCGGGUUAACGCCCCCGAAGGCCCAAAAGGCCGCCGGAAUCAGGCGUCCGUCGUUGGACUCUAACUCUUGUUUUUCUUAUUUUUCAUUUCUGAGUGUACACAUAAUCAAACGAAUCAAAACUUUCAACAACGUAAACUUUGGUUCUGGUAUCGAUGAAGAACGCAUCAAAUCGGAAGAGCAUACGUUUGAAUU